AACAAGGCGUACCUGCGGACCUGCGGAGGGAUCAUUACACAAUACAAUAUGAAGGCUGUCCGCAGCUGGAGUAUUUUAUUACCCUUGUCUUUUGCGCACUUGUUGUUUCCUGGGCGGGUUCGCUCGCCACCAGGACCACCAAAUAAACCUUUUUUAUGCAGUUGCAAUCAGCGUCAGUACAAACAAUGUAAAUCAUUUACAACUUUUAGCAAUGGAUCU
rnacentral:misc_RNA from 1 species